rnacentral:rRNA from 1 species
GUCAUCAUGGCCCUUAUGUCCAGGGCGACACACGUGCUACAAUGGCCGGCACAGCGGGAAGCGAGGGGCGACCUUGAGCGGAUCCCUCCAAAGCCGGUCUCAGUUCGGAUUGCAGUCUGCAACUCGCCUGCAUGAAGAUGGAGUUGCUAGUAAACGCGCGUCAGCUAUAGUGCGUUCGAAUACGUUCCCGGGUCUU